rnacentral:rRNA from 1 species
GAACGAACGCUGGCGGCGUGCUUAACACAUGCAAGUCAAACGCGAAAGGGACUUCGGUCCUGAGUAAAGUGGCGCACGGGUGAGUAACGCGUAGAUAACCUGUCUUCAUGUCUGGAAUAAUAACGCCGAAAGGGGUACUAAUACCGGAUAUUCUUGCUUUUCAUAAGUUAUGCAAGCAAAGGUGGCCUCUGCAUAUGCUACUGCAUGAAGAGGGGUCUGCGUACCAUUAGCUAGUAGGUGGGGUAAUGGCCUACCUAGGCGACGAUGGUUAGCGGGUCUGAGAGGAUGAUCCGCCACACUGGCACUGGAACACGGGCCAGACUCCUACGGGAGGCAGCAGUGGGGAAUAUUGCACAAUGGGGGGAACCCUGAUGCAGCGACGCCGCGUGAAGGAAGAAGUAUCUCGGUAUGUAAACUUCUAUCAGCAGGGAAGAAAAUGACGGUACCUGACUAAGAAGCCCCGGCUAACUACGUGCCAGCCGCCGC